rnacentral:rRNA from 1 species
AGAGAUGUGUGAUGACGCAUAUCAAUAAGCGGAGGAAAAGAAACUAACAAGGAUUCCCUUAGUAACGGCGAGUGAAGCGGGAAGAGCUCAAAUUUGAAAUCUUCAAGGUUCUACCUUGACGAAUUGUAGUUUAUAGAAGUGUUUUCUGUUAGUAGAGUGGCAAAAGUUCUUUGGAAUAGGACAUCAUAGAGGGUGCGAAUCCCGUAUUUGGUCAUUCUUUCUAGCUUUGUGAUACACUUUCAACGAGUCGGAUUGUUUGGGAAUGCAGUCCAAAAUGGGUGGUAAAUUUCAUCUAAAGCUAAAUAUUGGCGAGAGACCGAUAGCGAACAAGUACCGUGAGGGAAAGAUGAAAAGAACUUUGAGAGGAGAGUUAAACAGUACGUGAAAUUGUCAAAAGGGAAGCGUUUGACACCAGUGUUGUUUUUCCGAAAAUCAAUUACGAAUGUUUUAUUUUUGAGGAGUUAUGACCUCAUCGGCUUGCUCCUUUCUUUAUGAAACUUUCUUAAUGCGCUUUUCGGUUAACAAGUCAACAUCAAUUUCUUUUGUUGUAAAAGGGUAUGAGGAAGGUGGCUUUCUUUUCGGAGAAAGUGUUUAUAGCCUUGUACCUCUGCAAUCGGAGAGAUUGAGGUCUGCAGCGUAGAUCCUUCGGGGUUAGAUACAUUUGUGCUAAGUUAUAGCUUUUCAUAGACAACUUGUUGACUAUGUUAAGUCUUGUAGCUUACUCGCUUACGCUAUUUUACCUACGCUUAGGAUGUUGACGAUCAGCUGAGCGCG